rnacentral:rRNA from 1 species
GAUGAACGCUGGCGGCGUGCCUAAUACAUGCAAGUCGAGCGAAUGGAUUAAGAGCUUGCUCUUAUGAAGUUAGCGGCGGACGGGUGAGUAACACGUGGGUAACCUGCCCAUAAGACUGGGAUAACUCCGGGAAACCGGGGCUAAUACCGGAUAACAUUUUGAACCGCAUGGUUCGAAAUUGAGAGGCGGCUUCGGCUGUCACUUAUGGAUGGACCCGCGUCGCAUUAGCUAGUUGGUGAGGUAACGGCUCACCAAGGCAACGACGCGUAGCCGACCUGAGAGGGGAAUCGGCCACACGGGGACUGAGACACGGCCCAGACUCCUACGGGAGGCAGCAGUAGGGAAUCUUCCGCAAUGGACGAAAGUCUGACGGAGCAACGCCGCGUGAGUGAUGAAGGCUUUCGGGUCGUAAAACUCUGUUGUUAGGGAAGAACAAGUGCUAGUUGAAUAAGCUGGCACCUUGACGGUACCUAACCAGAAAGCCACGGCUAACUACGUGCCAGCCGCCGCGGUAA